rnacentral:rRNA from 1 species
CAGCCGCCGCGGUAAUACGUAGGGUGCAAGCGUUAAUCGGAAUUACUGGGCGUAAAGCGUGCGCAGGCGGUUAUAUAAGACAGAUGUGAAAUCCCCGGGCUCAACCUGGGAACUGCAUUUGUGACUGUAUAGCUAGAGUACGGCAGAGGGGGAUGGAAUUCCGCGUGUAGCAGUGAAAUGCGUAGAUAUGCGGAGGAACACCGAUGGCGAAGGCAAUCCCCUGGGCCUGUACUGACGCUCAUGCACGAAAGCGUGGGGAGCAAACAGGAUUAGAGACCCCUGAGUCCCUGUCUCUUAUACA